rnacentral:rRNA from 1 species
AUUGAACGCUGGCGGCAGGCCUAACACAUGCAAGUCGAGCGGAUGAGUGGAGCUUGCUCCAUGAUUCAGCGGCGGACGGGUGAGUAAUGCCUAGGAAUCUGCCUGGUAGUGGGGGACAACGUUUCGAAAGGAACGCUAAUACCGCAUACGUCCUACGGGAGAAAGCAGGGGACCUUCGGGCCUUGCGCUAUCAGAUGAGCCUAGGUCGGAUUAGCUAGUAGGUGAGGUAAUGGCUCACCUAGGCGACGAUCCGUAACUGGUCUGAGAGGAUGAUCAGUCACACUGGAACUGAGACACGGUCCAGACUCCUACGGGAGGCAGCAGUGGGGGAAUAUUGGACAAUGGGCGAAAGCCUGAUCCAGCAAUGCCGCGUGAGUGAUGAAGGCCU